AGUGAACGCUGGCGGUAGGCCUAACACAUGCAAGUCGAACGGCAGCACAGUAAGAGCUUGCUCUUACGGGUGGCGAGUGGCGGACGGGUGGGGAAUACAUCGGAAUCUACUUUUUCGUGGGGGAUAACGUAGGGAAACUUACGCUAAUACCGCAUACGACCUACGGGUGAAAGCAGGGGAUCUUCGGACCUUGCGCGAUUGAAUGAGCCGAUGUCGGAUUAGCUAGUUGGCGGGGUAAAGGCCCACCAAGGCGACGAUCCGAAGCUGGUCUGAGAGGAUGAUCAGCCACACUGGAACUGAGACACGGUCCAGACUCCUACGGGAGGCAGCAGUGGGGAAUAUUGGACAAUGGGCGCAAGCCUGAUCCAGCCAUACCGCGUGGGUGAAGAAGGCCUUCGGGUUGUAAAGCCCUUUUGUUGGGAAAGAAAAGCAGCAGGUUAAUACCCCGCUGUUCUGACGGUACCCAAAGAAUAAGCACCGGCUAACUUCGUG
rnacentral:rRNA from 1 species